rnacentral:tRNA from 53 species
AAUAGCUCAGUUGGUAGAGCACGACCUUGCCAAGGUCGGGGUCGCGAGUUCGAGUCUCGUUU